CCUACGGGUGGCAGCAGUCGAGAAUCAUUCACAAUGGGGGAAACCCUGAUGGUGCGACGCCGCGUGGGGGAAUGAAGGUCUUCGGAUUGUAAACCCCUGUCAUGUGGGAGCAAAUUAAAAAGAUAGUACCACAAGAGGAAGAGACGGCUAACUCUGUGCCAGCAGCCGCGGUAAUACAGAGGUCUCAAGCGUUGUUCGGAAUCACUGGGCGUAAGGCGUUCGUAGGCUGUUUCGUAAGUCGUGUGUGAAAGGCGCGGGCUCAACCCGCGGACGGCAGAUGAUACUGCGAGACUAGAGUAAUGGAGGGGGAACCGGAAUGCUCGGUGUAGCAGGGAAAUGCGUAGAUAUCGAGAGGAACACUCGUGGCGAAGGCGGGUUCCUGGACAUUAACUGACGCUGAGGCACGAAGGCCAGGGGAGCGAAAGGGAUUAGAUACCCUGGUAGUC
rnacentral:rRNA from 1 species